CAACAGGGAUUCCCCUAGUAACGGCGAGUGAAGCGGGAACAGCUCAAAUUUGAAAUCUGGCCCUUGGGUCCGAGUUGUAAUUUGCAGAGGAUGCUUUUGGUGCGGUGCCUUCCGAGUUCCCUGGAACGGGACGCCUUAGAGGGUGAGAGCCCCGUACGGUUGGCCACCAAGCCUGUGUAAAGCUCCUUCGACGAGUCGAGUAGUUUGGGAAUGCUGCUCAAAAUGGGAGGUAUAUUUCUUCUAAAGCUAAAUACUGGCCAGAGACCGAUAGCGCACAAGUAGAGUGAUCGAAAGAUGAAAAGCACUUUGAAAAGAGGGUUAAAUAGCACGUGAAAUUGUUGAAAGGGAAGGAUUUAUGACCAGACUUUUUCUGGGGGGAUCAUCCGGUGUUCUCACCGGUGCACUUCCCCCAGUUGAGGCCAGCAUCGGUUUCUGCCGGGGGAUAAAAGCUUUGGGAAUGUGGCUCCUUCGGGAGUGUUAUAGCCCGUUGCAUAAUACCCUGGCGGGGACCGAGGUUCGCGCAUUGCAAGGAUGCUGGCGUAAUGGUUAUUAAUCACCCGUCUUGAAACACGGACCAAGGAGUCGAACAUUUGUGCGAGUGUUUGGGUGUUAAACCCUCACGCGUAAUGAAAGUGAACGGAGGUGAGAGCCUUUAGGGGUGCAUCAUCGACCGAUCCUGAUGUCUUCGGAUGGAUUUGAGUAAGAGCAUAACUGUUCGGACCCGAAAGAUGGUGAACUAUGCGUGGAUAGGGUGAAGCCAGAGGAAACUCUGGUGGAGGCUCGCAGCGGUUCUGACGUGCAAAUCGAUCGUCAAAUCUGCGCAUGGGGGCGAAAGACUAAUCGACCAUCUAG
rnacentral:rRNA from 2 species